UACGGGGGGGGUAAGCGUUGUUCGGAUUCAUUGGGCGUAAAGGGUGCGUAGGCGGCGCGGUAAGUCGGGUGUGAAAUCUCGGAGCUUAACUCCGAAACUGCAUUCGAUACUGCCGUGCUUGAGGACUGGAGAGGAGACUGGAAUUUACGGUGUAGCGGUGAAAUGCGUAGAUAUCGUAAGGAAGACCAGUGGCGAAGGGGGGUCUCUGGACAGUUCCUGACGCUGAGGCACGAAGGCCAGGGGAGCAAACGGG
rnacentral:rRNA from 1 species